rnacentral:miRNA from 1 species
AGUCCCCAGCUGCUGUUGGACUGCAGUGCCCAUCACCUCUGAUGACUAGACCUGCUAGCCAGGAAUGAUGGGAGUUGCAGUCCAACAACAGCUGGGGACCCA